GGGGUUGUGGCUCAGCGGUAGAGCACUUGCCUCACCCACAUGAGGCACUGGGUUCCAUCCUCAGCACCACA
rnacentral:tRNA from 1 species